GAUGAACGCUGGCGGCGUGCCUAAUACAUGCAAGUCGAGCGAACAGACGAGGAGCUUGCUCCUCUGACGUUAGCGGCGGACGGGUGAGUAACACGUGGAUAACCUACCUAUAAGACUGGGAUAACUUCGGGAAACCGGAGAUAAUACCGGAUAAUAUAUUGAACCGCAUGGAUCAAUAGUGAAAGACGGUUUUGCUGUGCCUAAUAGAUGGUUCCGCGCCGCAUUAGCUAGUUGGUAAGGUAACGGCUUACCAAGGCAACGAUGCGUAGCCGACCUGAGAGGGUGAUCGGCCACACUGGAACUGAGACACGGUCCAGACUCCUACGGGAGGCAGCAGUAGGGAAUCUUCCGCAAUGGGCGAAAGCCUGACGGAGCAACGCCGCGUGAGUGAUGAAGGUCUUCGGAUCGUAAAACUCUGUUAUUAGGGAAGAACAAAUGUGUAAGUAACUAUGCACGUCUUGACGGUACCUAAUCAGAAAGCCACGGCUAACUACGUG
rnacentral:rRNA from 1 species